rnacentral:rRNA from 1 species
AUUGAACGCUGGCGGCAGGCCUAACACAUGCAAGUCGAGCGGCUCGGCGGACGGGUGAGGAAUGCCUAGGAAUCUGCCUGGUCGUGGGGGAUAACGUUCGGAAACGGGCGCUAAUACCGCAUCCUAUCAGAUUAGCCUAUGUCGGAUUAGCUAGUUGGGGGGGUAAGGGCCACCCAAGGCGACGAUCCGUAACUGGUCUGAGAGGAUGAUCAGUCACACUGGAACUGAGACACGGUCCAGACUCCUACGGGAGGCAGCAGUGGGGAAUAUUGGACAAUGGGCGAAAGCCUGAUCCAGCCAUGCCGCGUGUGUGAAGAAGGUCUUCGGAUUGUAAAGCACUUUCAGUUGGGAGGCGUUACCAACAGAAUAAGCACCGGCUAACUUCGUGCCAGCCGCCGCGGUAAUAC